UACCUGUAUAGCCUUUACCACUAGACCACUUGCUCGUUGUUGAAAGACUAUAGCAACUUAUUCACCUUAAUCUUUUUCUCUAGAUUGUAUAAUUAAUAAUGGACAUAUUUCGAAUCGCAAAAUGACUUCAGCAGGACUUAACCACAUUGGUACAUUAGACAACCUGUAGACAUUACUACAAGACAACUUGUUCGUUGUUGGAA